UAACCAGCUUGAUCAAAAGCGACAACAAGACCGACUUCUUACAUUCUCAAAGUUUUUCAUUUAAAACUAUCACAACGUUAAAAGAAAGGACCAUGCUGGGCAAUGAUGUUUAAUUCUAAAUAGGUGUUUACAGUAUGUGGAAGGCAGUGUUGGACUUGAGAGAAGAAUAAAUGAAUGCCAUCCAUCUUUCAUGUUCAGUUUCACCAUAAGGAAGAUUUAAGAAGAAAUUUAAGUCUUGCGUUGAUGGAGUCAUUUGAUCACAAUUCCCUGGAGUAUAAACUGACAAUGAAGAAUGCAAUGAUCUUUAACCUUCUCAGCAGGCAAUCCAAGAAAGGUAAGUCACAAAGGUUAGAGAUGAGACGUAAUAUUGUCUGGACAUUUUGGUAAAAACGCCACUUGAGGUGUCUGUUAUGAUUUCACUGGAUCAUAAUGUUAUUAUCUGAAGGUCAUAUCUACUGUCUUCUGUAGAUUUCAAAUUAAAGGGCUUGCAAUCUAAAAAACCGUUAACACAGUUCAGUGACAUCAACACAGACACAAUGACUCAUUAGUGACAUAUGGAAAAAGAGCCUUUUCUGGGAAA